AGCAGCCGCGGUAAUUCCAGCUCCAAUAGCGUAUAUUAAAGUUGUUGCAGUUAAAAAGCUCGUAGUUGAAUUUCGGGACUAAUAUGUCGGUCGUGCCUCGGUACGCACUGGCUUAUUGGUUUCUCCUUUCUGAAGAACCAUGAUGUCAUUUAUUUGGUGUCGUGGGGAAUCAGGACUGUUACUUUGAAAAAAUUAGAGUGUUUAAAGCAGGCUCACGCUUGAAUACAUUAGCAUGGAAUAAUGAAAUAGGACGUUUGAUUCUAUUUUGUUAGUUUCUAGGAUCGACGUAAUGAUUAAUAGGGAUAGUUGGGGGCAUUAGUAUUCAAUUGUCAGAGGUGAAAUUCUUGGAUUUAUUGAAGACUAACUACUGCGAAAGCAUUUGCCAAGGAUUGUUUUCAUUAAUCAAGAACGAAAGUU
rnacentral:rRNA from 1 species